rnacentral:rRNA from 1 species
AACGAACGCUGGCGGCACGCCUAACACAUGCAAGUCGAGCGCACCUUCGGGUGAGCGGCGGACGGGUUAGUAACGCGUGGGAACGUACCCUUUUCUGCGGAAUAGCCUUUGGAAACGAAGAGUAAUACCGCAUACGCCCUUCGGGGGAAAGAUUUAUCGGUGAAGGAUCGGCCCGCGUUAGAUUAGUUAGUUGGUGGGGUAAUGGCCUACCAAGACUACGAUCUAUAGCUGGUUUGAGAGGAUGAUCAGCAACACUGGGACUGAGACACGGCCCAGACUCCUACGGGAGGCAGCAGUGGGGAAUCUUAGACAAUGGGCGCAAGCCUGAUCUAGCGAUGCCGCGUGAGUGACGAAGGCCUUAGGGUCGUAAAGCUCUUUCGCCAGGGAUGAUAAUGACAGUACCUGGUAAAGAAACCCCGGCUAACUCCGUGCCAGCCGCCGCGGUAAU